rnacentral:rRNA from 1 species
CCUACGGGUGGCUGCAGUAGGGAAUAUUGCUCAAUGGGGGAAACCCUGACGCAGCAACGCCGCGUGGAGGAUGAAGGUUUUCGGAUUGUAAACUCCUUUUGUUAGAGAAGAUCAUGACGGUAUCUAACGAAUAAUCACCGGCUAACUCCGGGCCAGCAGCCGCGGUAAUACGGAGGGUGCACGCUGUACUCGGAAUCACUGGGCGUAAAGAGCGCGUAGGCGGGAUAGCAAGUCAGAUGUGAAAUCCUUUGGCUUAACCAUAGAACUGCAUUUGAAACUGUUAUUCUAGAGUAUGGGAGAGGUAGGUGGAAUUCUAGGUGUAGGAGUAAAAUCCGUAGAUAUCAAGAGGAAUACUCAUUGCGAAGGCGACCUGCUAGAACAUAACUGACGCUGAGGCGCGAAAGCGUGGGGAGCAAACAGGAUUAGAUACCCUGGUAGUC